AUUCAGAUCAGUAAGAUGGAUCAUAUGCAGAGACUAUGAGAGGUCCCUUUCAGCCAGUCGUAUCGGAGCAGUACAAGUAAGGACAGUUUCCAACCAUAUAUGUGAGAAUAACGGAUAGCAGGGAGAUGAUAACGCGAAAUAGAAGGCGCUCGUGCAGCAUGUGCUGUGCAGGCGGGGGCCGGGGCCGGGGCCGGGCAGGGGGACCGGUCGAACGAUGCUUAGACGUCCCAAUCCUGUCUGCUACAGUGCAAUGGAGAUACUUUAUGGA
rnacentral:lncRNA from 1 species